rnacentral:lncRNA from 1 species
GGAUUGGGAUAUUCCGACUCCUUAAGGGCCUGGCGCACAUAAGGUGUGACCUUUUCAUUCCCGUUGUUAUGGAGGGCCACAUCUGCCAGAGCCUGGAGUCUGCGAAGGCCGGGACCCGGUUCCCCGGCCCACAGUGGGGGUGUGCAAACCCGAGAGAACUGGAUUGCGUACCCACUGCAGAGUGCUGAAGACGGGGUAGCCACGAGGUUGCAAAUUCGUGAAGAAUCAGCAUCAUGUUUGGCAGCUGAGUAUUGGAGCCAGGAGCCUGCCAUGAGGUUAUAUUCCCAGAGGAUGUCAGUCCCAAGGACCAGUAGCUGCCAUCAGUUUGGAUUCUGAAAACUAACUGGCAUCAACACUGGGUGUAGAAACAUGCUUGCCUUAUGUAUCAGAGGACAUGCUCAGCAGAUCCAAGAGAUAUAUUUGGCAACUUUUUCUAGAAAAGGCACAUUGGGUAUCAUUCAUUACAUUCUUGAGUUUUUUUGGGUUUUUUUUUUUUUUUUUGAGACAGUCUUGCUGUAUUGCCCAGGCUGGAGUGUGGUGGCACAAUCACAGCUCAUUGCAUCCUCAAUCACCCAGGCCUAAGCAAUCCUCCCACCUUGUAGCUGGGACUACAGCUCACAGCACACCUGGCUAAAAUUUUUUUUUUGUUGAGACGGAUUCUCUAUGUUGCCCAGGCUGGUCUCAGGCUCCUGGGCUCAGAUGGUCCUCCUGCCUCAGCUUCCAAAGGCACAGGCCAAGUUGUAGCUUUGUCCCUUGCCAUCAUGCCCAACAAGAGGUUCUAUACCUUUUAAUGAAUUGACUUUCAUAAAUUGGUUAUGUUGGUGGGCAAAGUUCUUUAAGCUGGAAAUUGUAAAUUCCUCCUGAAAUGUUUUUUCAUGCAGUUACCAUGAACUAAUACUACAAUAAAGGAUGGUCUUGGGUGUCAAUUCUUGAA